rnacentral:rRNA from 1 species
CAAUAGCGUAUAUUAAAGUUGUUGCAGUUAGAACGCUCGUAGUCGGAUUUCGGGGCGGGCCGACCGGUCUGCCGAUGGGUAUGCACUGGUCGGCGCGUCCUUCCUUCCGGAGACCGUCCCUACUCUUAACUGAGCGGGGGCGGGAGACGGGACUUUUACUUUGAAAAAAUCAGAGUGUUUCAAGCAGGCAGCUCGCUCUUGCAUGGAUUAGCAUGGGAUAAUGAAAUAGGACUUUGGCGCUAUUUUGUUGGUUUCGAACACCGAAGUAAUGAUGAGAAGGGACAGUCAGGGGCACUCGUAUUCCGCCGAGAGAGGUGAAAUUCUCAGACCAGCGGAAGACGAACCACUGCGAAAGCAUUUGCCAGGGAUGUUUUCACUGA